rnacentral:rRNA from 1 species
AGUCAUAUGCUUGUCCAGAGGAUUAAGCCAUGCRAGUGCCAGUAUAAGCGAUUCUUACGGCGAAACUGCGAACGGCUCAUUAAAUCUGUUUUGGUCCACGCACCGAUCGUGCGUCUCUYGUUUGGAACCCUCGGGUUCUGGGGAGGCUCGCUACAUGGAUAACCGUUGAAAUGCAAUGGCUAAUACAUGCGUCGAGGCGCGCCCCUGGUUGGCGCGCCGUAUUUAUUAGAUACAAACCAACAUCUCUUGUCGGUGACUCACAAUAACUGGUCGAAUCGCAUUCCCCCUUUCGUGGGGAGGCGAUACGGUGCUCGAGAUUCAGCCCUAUCAGCUUUGGAUGGUAGGGUCUUGGCCUACCAUGGCGUUAACGGGUAACGGGGAAUUAGGGUUCGAUUCCGGAGAGGGGGCCUGAGAAACGGCCACCACAUCCAAGGAAGGCAGCAGGCGCGUAAUUUACCAACUCGGGGCUCCCGGAGGUAGCGAAUGGACGUAACAACGCCGGGCUUMUUCAAGUCUGGUCGUGGCAAUGAGAACAAUCUAAACCCAUUAUCGAGGAUCAAUUGGAGGGCAAGCCUGGUGCCAGCAGCCGCGGUAAUUCCAGCUCCAGUAGCGUAUUCUAAAGUUGCUGCAGUUAAAAAGCUCGUAGUUGAACCUCAAAAGGGUGUUUCGCGCUGCGGUCCACUGUCCCUUUGUUGGCGGUGUUCUUCUCGCACGCCGCCCUUUUCUUUUCCUCGCGCAGCGUUUCGUGCUGGCAUUAAGUUGCCGGUGCGGCGUAUGUUGCGCGUCUUUUACUGUGAGCAAAAUAGAGUGUUCCAAGCAUUCCGUUCAUUCCAAUGGAAACUGCAUACUUCAGCAUGGGAUAAUGAGAUACGGCCGCCCGGUUUUAACUUGUUGGUUUGUUCCGGUUCUUAGCGGCAAUGAUGAAUAGGGACAGUUGGGGGUGUCCGUACUCCGGCGUCAGAGGUGAAAUUCUUGGAUUGCCGGAAGACGAACGACUGCGAAAGCAUUCACCAGGGAUGUUUUCAUUAAUCAAGAACGACAGCCAGGGGAUCGAAGACAAUUAGAUACCGUCGUAGUCCUGGCCAUAAACGAUGCCGACCAGGGAUGGGCCGUCCGCUUCAUUUUCCACGAACGCGGUCCGCACCUUGGGAGAAAUCACAAGUCUUYGGGUUCCGGGGGGAGUAUGGUCUCUCGACUGAAACUUAAAGGAAUUGACGGAAGGGCACCACCAGGAGUGGAGCCUGCGGCUUAAUCUGACUCAACACGGAGAACCUUUCCAGGGCCAGACACAAUGGGGAUUGACAGAUUGACAGCUCUUUCUUGAUUCUGUGGGUGGUGGUGCAUGGCCGUUUGUAGUUGGUGGAGUGAUUUGUCUGGUUCAUUCCGAUAACGAACGAGACCCCCGCCUGCUAACUAGCGGGGCGUACAGCCUCGUUGCUGUACGGCAGCAAUCUYUUUAUCCCGCUUCUUAGAGGGACUUUCGGUGCUUUAGCCGAAGGAAGUUGGGGGCAACAACAGGUCUGUGAUGCCCUUAGAUGUCCUGGGCCGCACGCGCGCUACACUGACGCGCGCAGCGAGUGUUGCAGCUUAAAGUCCCCCUUYUCCCUYUCGGGGKWGGGGGAUGUCGACCUUCUGCGGAAGCAGCGGGGAACCUUGUGAAUGCGCGUCGUGAUAGGGAUAGAUUCUUGCAAUUGUUAAUCUUGAACGAGGAAUUCCUUGUAAACGCAAGUCAUCAGCUUGCAUUGAAUACGUCCCUGCCCUUUGUACACACCGCCCGUCGCACCUACCGAUUGAACGACUCGGUGAAGCCUCCGGAUGGGACGCGGCAUCCCUCCUUUUGGGGGGGGACGCCGCGACCCAGAAGUUGUCUGAACCUCGUUGUUUAGAGGAAGGUGAAGUCGUAACAAGGUUUCC